rnacentral:misc_RNA from 1 species
GAUGAAGAACGCAGCGAAAUGCGAUACGUAAUGUGAAUUGCAGAAUUCAGUGAAUCAUCGAAUCUUUGAACGCAUAUUGCGCUCUCUGGUAUUCCGGAGAGCAUGCUUGUUUGAGUAUCAGUAAACACCUCAACUUCCAUAUCUUUUUUGAAAUGGGAGUUGGACUUGAGUGAUCCCAACGCUUUUCCUCACCGAAAAGUGGCGGGUUACUUGAAAUGCAGGAGCAGCUGGACUUUUCUCUGAGCUAUAAGCAUAUCUAUUUAGUCUGCCUAAAAAACAGAUUAUUACCUUUGCUGCAGCUAACAUAAAGGAGAUUAGUUCUUGUGCUGACUGAUGCAGGAUUCACAAAGACAGGCUUCGGCCGACUUUGUAAACUCGAUCUCAAAUCAAGUAAGACUACCCGCUGAACUUAAGCAUAUCAAUAAGCGGAGGA